UAUGGGUGGGCUGGGGUUUGGGUAAAAAGUGGCGACUUGAGACAGCGGACGGAACAGCAGAAGAACAUCGAUAGAUAGAAGAAGGAGAUGGCGGUGAGAGGUAGAGCAGUAGAAACGCUGCCAAAGCUGAUGAGGAGCCUGAGGAAGGACUCGGCUUCUUCAACAGUGACUCGAACUCCAGCCUUGCCCUCCCUUAGACGCGCUUUCUCUCUCUACGAUCAGAUCAAUCUCAUCGACAAUGUUCCCGAUGACCAGCUUCGUUUCCAACGAUAUACGGAAACAGGAUUCACUGUGAACGGUAUCAACUAUGAAGGCAGCUUGCUUUGUGUGGGAAAUUUGGUCACUUCUUGGGGCUCCCGUAAAUUUUCUGAAAUUACUCCCCAAAGCUUAUCCAUCUUUCAAAUUAUACGACCUAUUCCAGAAAUUUUGAUUCUUGGCUGUGGAAGGUACAUUGAACCUGUAGAUCCGGAACUCAGACGCUUCAUCCGAUCUACUGGCAUGAAAUUGGAAGCCUUAGACUCGGCUCAGAAUUUGUUCUCCUGUUGCAGAGAAAUGCUGCAUCUACUUACAACAUACUGAAUGAGGAAGGUAGAAUUGUGGCUGCUGCACUGCUCCCGUAUGGAGUUUCUUCAUGAACCUUGAAAACCAAAUGUUGGCUUGGUAGGCUGAGCAAAGGAAAAUGAAUACAAGGGAGGAAUCAAAAGCAAAAGCAAAAGCAAAAUCAUGAACUUGGACCGGACAUUUAUCAUACUGACAAUAGCGAAAAGGUGUUGGCAUAAACUGAUAUACUUAAACCCCAAAAGGAUUAUGCAAAUCCUACUUUUGAAUUUACUCUUAACAUGGCUUGUAUUUUGCAAGAGUUGAUAUGGUUCUUCAAAGAAGAUACGAUUAUAAUUCAUUACGAAAUCAAAUAAUCAGAAUAAUUAAAAUU